UACGGAGGGAGCUAGCGUUGUUCGGAAUUACUGGGCGUAAAGCGCACGUAGGCGGCUAUUCAAGUCAGAGGUGAAAGCCCGGGGCUCAACCCCGGAACUGCCUUUGAAACUAGGUAGCUAGAAUCCUGGAGAGGUCAGUGGAAUUCCGAGUGUAGAGGUGAAAUUCGUAGAUAUUCGGAAGAACACCAGUGGCGAAGGCGACUGACUGGACAGGUAUUGACGCUGAGGUGCGAAAGCGUGGGGAGCAAACAGG
rnacentral:rRNA from 1 species